rnacentral:lncRNA from 1 species
UAAUAAUAAUAAUAAUAAAACCAUAGAAGAAAAUAUUGUCAUAUAAAAUUAAAACAUCAUUGUAAUCAAAAUAGGUACAUUGCGCUUUGCACUAAAAUGCAAACUCAACAGAUAUAACACUAGUCUUAUAAAAAAAGCAUAAACAAGAGUAACUACUUGGGUGAAACAACAACGUACUUAUCAAAAUACAAUCAAAAGUAGGAACCUUAAUGACUAUAGCCAACAUC